AUUGAACGCUGGCGGCAGGCCUAACACAUGCAAGUCGAACGAGUGGGGACGGGUGAGUAAAACGUGGGUAACCUCCCAUCAGAGGGGAUAACACUUGGAAACAGGUGCUAAACCGAUAAUGCUGGAUGGACCCGCGGUGAAUUAGCUAGUUGGUGAGGUAACGGCUCACCAAGGCCACGAUGCAUAGCCGACCUGAGAGGGGGAUCGGCCACACUGGGACUGAGACACGGCCCAGACUCCUACGGGAGGCAGCAGUAGGGAAUCUUCGGCAAUGGACGAAAGUCUGACCGAGCAAUGCCGCGUGAGUGAAGAAGGUUUUCGGAUCGUAAAACUCUGUUGUUGGAGAAGCGGUAUCUAACCAGAAAGCCACGGCUAACUACGUGCCAGCCGCCGCGGUAAUUC
rnacentral:rRNA from 1 species